UCGUGUUCUUGUAUUUUCUGAUUUAAUUUGUUGGUUAUCGAUAUAAAUCCUCAUGUUUUCAAGUUGUAUUAAUGAUUUAUGGUAAAACAAACCUAUUUCACAAAUGAGUUAACUUUUUGUGUCACCUUUUCCUUCUGGUUUUAACAUCAGAAGUUGGAUUCUUUCCACGCGCUAUUUUCCGCUUCUGCCUAUGUUUAUCAUACAAUACAAGUUAAAUCAGAAAAAUACAGAAAUAUUGGUAUUCUGCACACUUUAUUUUAUAAAUUUUCUGUUCCCUAGGCGGUGAGUUUAUGAGUUCUUGUUGUAUAAAGCCGAUUUUGAAGUGCUGAGUUUUGGAUUGCCUAGAGCGUGGUGUUGAAGACUUUGAGAAGACGUUGCGGUCGAGGACGUCACGCCAUCAGGAAAGGCCGUGUUACAAAUAUAACUCCGAACCUCAGAAUAAUAACAGGAAGCAAUCGUAUUUACACCGCGACGACGUACUCUGUGGUCGGCAGAUAAGCCAUGGCGGGAAACGUCAAAAAGGAGAUGUCAAUGUCAUUGUCA